UGAUCAUGAUCGUGGUGGUGGCGAGUGGAGGGUGGGAACUGAUGUUGAUCUUUACACUACAAUUAACUAUCUUAAUUAGUAAAUUAAGACAUUUCAACAAGUAAAAUGGUUCAGCAUAGACACAUAGAAAAAAGUUUAAAGGUAAACAUUUGAAUCUAUUACUAACAUUAUCCCAAUUGAACAUUUCAAAACUAAUUCAUAAUCUACUUACCCUUCAAGCUUUAAUUGUCCAGUUAAUUGUUGGAAUAAUAAAUAACUGUAAUUCCAAUAAUAAUAAACUAAUCACAUUAAUCAGACAAUAAGAGUAACAUGUUAAUAUUAAAUACGAAGCGAGAUAAUUUCUAAUAUCAAAUUAAAUUGAGUUUAAGUUAUCAUUAUCUAAUCGACAAUUAAAUUGUUUAUUGUAAUAUAAUAAUCACUUUUUGAUAAAUCUAUCAAAUUGUUGAUUUUUUUUCUUCUCUCAAUUUAAAUUGGAUUAAAAUAAAUUUCUUCUUGGUCAAGGCAAUGAUAAUAUAAUUCUCGUAAUUAGUCAAUUAUCCCUGAGUUUUUUUCCCUCGAAAUUUUCAUUCAAUCAACUUUAAUUUCUUGAUUAAUUGUUGAAGUUUUUUUUUCUUCAUCUCUUUUCCUCUUGCUAAUUGUUACGUUGAUUAAGAAUGUUGAAUAUACAUAACAAUUGAACGAGAUGUCACCACAAUUCUUAACCACUACAAUUAGUUAAUCCAAUUCGUUAUUAAUACUUUUAAUCCACUUGUUGAGUAAUUUUUCGUGGGCUCGAAUUUUUUUGCUUCUGUUUACAUUUUGAUUACCAUCUUAUAAGUGAUUAAAUUACAAUUAUCUUUAAUUAUCGGCCAAUUUCAGCGAUAAUAAAUUGUUGAGACUGAAUGGUUGGUUGAUUAGCAUCAACACUCUGUCCUCAUCGUCGUAAUUUUUGAUACAAUUAACAAUAUAAAUACGAAGCUAACAAUUAAUAAUCAACAGAUUAAUACAAUGUAAACAACAACAACAACAACAGUAAUUAACAUCUUCAUCAAGCCAAUAUUGACCCUAACAACUUUCCGGUCAAACUCAUUUUCCCCUCUUUUUAAUUACUAUAAAUGUAAAUUAGUCUACAAUUUGAUUUGAUUACUGGACAAUUGGAUGAUUUAAUAUGUCACCUUGAAUUAAUUGUAUCUACAGCAAUUGAUGAACAAUCAACUGAUUAUAAUAACAAGUCUAUUAGUUGUGAUUCCUUCAACCAUACAA